UCUCCUACGGGAGGCAGCAGUGGGGAAUAUUGCACAAUGGGGGGAACCCUGAUGCAGCGACGCCGCGUGAGUGAAGAAGUAUUUCGGUACGUAAAGCUCUAUCAGCAGGGAAGAAAAAUGACGGUACCUGACUAAGAAGCCCCGGCUAACUACGUGCCAGCAGCCGCGGUAAUACGUAGGGGGCAAGCGUUAUCCGGAUUUACUGGGUGUAAAGGGAGCGCAGGCGGCCUGCCAAGUCUGGUGUGAAAACCCGGGGCCCAACCCCGGGCCUGCAUUGGAAACUGGCGGGCUGGAGUGUCGGAGGG
rnacentral:rRNA from 1 species